rnacentral:tRNA from 1 species
GCGGUCGUAGUUCAGUGGUAAAACGAGACCUUCCCAAGGUUUAGUUGUGGGUUCGAUUCCCAUCGACCGCUCCA